UACACACCGCCCGUCACACCAUGGGAGUAGGUUGCUCCAGAAGUAGUUAGCCUAACCGCGAGGGGGGCGAUUACCACGGAGUGAUCCAUGACUGGGGUG
rnacentral:rRNA from 1 species